rnacentral:rRNA from 1 species
UUUGGCAGGUAGCUGUUGCUGGCUCCUUUGAGAGGGCACUGUGCACGUCAUCUUGCUUGUUUCCUUCUCUAUUACCUGUGCACUAUGUUGUAGACCUUUCGUGUCUAUGUAUUCUUUACCAUAACUACAAUGUUAAGAAUGUAUUCAUACAAGGUGCCUUUUUGUGCCUUAUAAAAAUAUACAACUUUCAACAAUGGAUCUCUUGGUUCUUGCAUCGAUGAAGAACGCAGCGAAAUGCGAUAAGUAAUGUGAAUUGCAGAAUUCAGUGAAUCAUCGAAUCUUUGAACGCAUCUUGCGCUCCCUCAAGGAGCAUGCCUGUUUGAGUGUCACUAAAUAUCUCAAAAUGCCUUACUUUUUCUUGUAAAGUGUUUUGGAUUUGGGAGUGAUUGCUGGCUUGUCAGCUCUCCUUAAAAGCAUUUUGGCUGUUCUCUGUUAACUGGUAAUGAUAAUUAUCUAUGCCUGUUAAAAGGGAAGGUGUUAAGCCUCUAAUGGUCCUGUGAUCAGGACAGUACAUUCAAUGUUGACCUCAAAUCAGGUAGGAUUACCCGCUGA